UGCUGAAUGUCACACCAGAUGGCCAGCAUGUCUGUGAAGGGCAGAAACUGGGUCAGCCAAACAGCUAGCAGAGGCCAACUAGACAGAGGCUCCCUUUUCUUACAGUUGGAAUGAGGGAUGGAGAGAUUUGAUGGUGUCCUGUACAAGUUGGAUGUUAAUCUGAUGUGGUGCUGCUGGAGAAGCUUGCCUGAGUCAGGCACAUUCUCAGCAUGUGGUAUGUGCUGCCCCUUCAAAGCUGCAGGAUUCUCAGAAGUUAUGCUGGCUUCUAUCCACAGCUGCGCUCCAGGUGGGGAAUACCUAUGGAGGCACCAGGGUGCAACUACUCAAAGACUCCAGUGUGCAGAAGGGCCCCUGCUCCAUGUUGUUCCCAUAUCCAAGCCCAAGCUCAUCUAGGACUUCAGCAAACCCAAGCUUCCCUGAAUUCCCUGCUGAGACCAAACUGAGCCCUGUGACCCACACUACUACACUGGUUA
rnacentral:lncRNA from 1 species